AUUGAACGCUGGCGGCAGGCCUAACACAUGCAAGUCGAGCGAGCGGCGGACGGGUGAGUAAUGUAUGGGGACUGCCCGAUAGAGGGGGAUAACUACUGGAAACGGUAGCUAAUACCGCAUACUAUCGGAUAACCCAUAUGGGAUUAGCUAGUAGGUGAGGUAAUGGCUCACCUAGGCGACGAUCCCUAGCUGGUCUGAGAGGAUGAUCAGCCACACUGGGACUGAGACACGGCCCAGACUCCUACGGAGGCAGCAGUGGGGAAUAUUGCACAAUGGGCGAAAGCCUGAUGCAGCCAUGCCGCGUGUAUGAAGAAGGCCCUAGGGUUGUAAAGUACUUUUGGCAGAGAAGCGUUAUCUGCAGAAUAAGCACCGGCUAACUACGUGCCAGCAGCCGCGGUAAUUC
rnacentral:rRNA from 1 species